rnacentral:tRNA from 1 species
GCGGAUGUGGUGAAAUUGGUAUACACGCCAGACUUAGGAUCUGGUGCCUCACGGUGUAAGAGUUCGAGUCUCUUCAUCCGCA